AAAUGAUAUCAGGAAUGGAUUGCAAGGUCUUCAACUAUAAGUGGUACUUUGAUUUCUUCCAAAACAUUAAGUAAUAAUGGCAAAACACAAACAUUUGAUGGAGCUUAAUGGUGGGUGCCCAUUAUGUAAUUCUUUUGACUUUUUCUAUAUGCUUGAAAUAUUGCAUUGACAGUUUUUAAAAGAAUAGAUGCAGGGCAGGAAUUAAUAAGACUGAUGAGAAUGGGGUGAGGGGAGAUGGGAAUUGAAAAUGACUGAGAUUUUAAAUCUGGGUGGCUGGAGAAUAGCAAUGCCUCUAAGAUUUGCAGUUGCUAAAUGGAAAUCUGGAAUGAAAUAGAGGGUGACAAGCACCAGUUUUGGAUGCAUGCUAUUUAAAAUUCUGGGUGGAUUUCAUCUAGAAAUGCCCCCAAAACAACUGGAAAUGUUCAUUCUGACAUCUGCGGUUUUGAGAAGAAAAUUUUAAAGGCUUACACUUACCUCUGCACUUUCAGUGCAACAUGAUUACAAACUGGAAAAUGUAGAAAUUUCCUGAAAAAGCAAUAUUAAUGAAGGGACCUGUCAUUUGACUCAGAAUUAAUACCUGAUUGCCUUAAAAGCCAAAGAAUUAAAAGCUCUAGCAUAAGGAAGUGGUGCAACUGGAGGGCAUCUAGGGAAGGUGCAACUGGAGGGCAGUGCCAUUCUGGGCCACAAGAGCAGGUCUUUCCUGGACCAAGAUAAAGCUGGCCUGCCAGGCUGGUGGCACAAAUAACACCAGGACCCCACAGACAGAUUUUGGGUUCAACUUCGGCCUACUUUUCAUUUUUCCCUCUCCAAAUGGAUAAUGGGGCCAUGUGAGACCAGUCAGACCUCCGAACAAUUAACUCUCUGGACUUGGUCCUCAGGGUUUGUACUUUAAUAGCCUGACUCUUAGUGGGAGGAGGAUGAAGACAUGGCAAAGUAAAAACUCUUCAGUGAGGGUCAACAGGCCUGGAUAAAUUUCUUAGUAUCUCUGCUUCUCAUCCAGGAUGCAAUCUUGAAAAGUCUCUAAACUUUAUGGCUGGUAUUAUAAAUAGAUUUCAUCUUCAGUGCCUUUGUUGACUGAUUCCCAGUAGCUACUUGGAGAAGUGUAUUGCAAAUGAUUGAGAGAUGCUGUUUGCGUCCAGUGGGAAUCAGUGAUCUCAUUAAUUAGCACUGUCUGACACCUGGAUUAGUUGCCAAAUGAUGCUCUUUGCUCCUCCUGAUCUAUAGAACUCUACAAAUUCCCCUUUUCAGGGAUAAGAUACACUGGUAGAGUUUUGAGAAGGGGCAGAAAACCAUUCCUACUCUAUUUCAACCCUUGUCCCCUCCAGAAAAAUGCUCAAGUUCCCCUCCGGACUGAUAGAUAACACUGGACACUAGACACGGGAGAAAACAGGUUAUUUACUUCAGGAUGAAGCUACGUUUACUCUUUGGGAUUUUCUCUGUGUUAAAUCUGCAGUGCCAUCUACUGAAUCAGAUAGGAAAUAAUACAAAGACUGUAAAAGCAUUGCAGAGGACAAUGAGAGGACAUCUGCUCUUAAAACCAUGUAUUUUAAUCUCAUAAUUUAGCUGUACUUGCAUUAUAAUAUUUUGGUAGGUGAACCCUUUUGAGAAACUCUCACACCAUUUUAAAUUCCAUAUAAACAACACUCAUGAGUAUGUUGUCAAUACAUGUUGAAUCAUGUGUUUCCUUUUUUUUUUUAAAUUUGGUAUUUUACAUGAUAGAGUUGAAGAUUAAAAUCCCAAAUCCCAAGUACACUUCUGAUGUCCUUGUAGCCACAAGUAUGGUUUGUUAAGGGCCUAUCAGAUUUUGCUUGAAGUUGGUAUUUGUGGUACUGUUUAUACCGGUAUCCCCAAAAAAGUUUCUUGAUCCAGUAAAUUUGGGAACUGCUAUUUAUAUGCCCAAGCCCUCUCUCAGAGACUCACAAUGUAUAUGAGCAUAGUAGGGGUUUUAGACGCUCUGAAGGCAAGAUAUCUAUUUAACUUUGUUUAAUUCAAUGUUUCUUAAAUUUAGUUUAAACAAAGCUUAUUUGAUUAUUAUUUUAAAAGUAUUUCAAGUAUUGGUCUUUAAUAUGCCAGACACAGUGCUAGAUGCUUCACUGUGUUAACUGAUUUACGCAUCAUUAUGGUCAUCUGAUUUUAUCCCUUAGAGAGGAAGUUGUUGAGAAGACUGAGGCAACUUUUGCAAAGCACAUUGGUAUGGAACAUGGCCUGCCUGAUUCCUAGGAACAUGCUGUUCCCAGUUGUAUCACAUGGCCUCUCAGCAGGGCCUUCCAGGUUUCAAAUGGCUGAGGAAAGAAUCUUCUCCGUGGGAAGGGGAUGGGAGUCACCAGGCCCUGCUUUCAAAGCAUUUCCCUGGGGUAGAGACUCUUUUAAAGUCUGCUCUUGUAGAAGCAAGAGAUUCUCUUCUCCUGGAGGUAAGAACUGCUGGCCUGCUGUGGUAGAUAGUCUUUGUGUGUCACUCCUCUACAACUUAACCAAUUACUUGCAAAGAUGCCCUAGUUUUGGAGAAUACUUGGAGAGAAUGGAUGCCUCUAGGGAGUUCUUAAGUUGCCUAAGAUGCUUCACCUUUAGUCUCUUCCCAGGUCUAUUCCAGGCUCUGAGUUUCUUGGCCGUGAGAGCAGAAUUUAUAGUCUAAUUCACUGAGAUUCAAUUUUCAAAGUCAGUUUCCCAAAGGGCUCCUAGAUUUUGUAGCUUUCCAAUAAAGUACAGCUAUUGAGAACAGAGAGCUCGAGAAGGUCACUUGUCCAGAAGCUAUUUUUAGGUAGAAUAUUUUGGGUACUUUGUAGAGGGAAGUUAGAUGAGAGCAGGCCUUUAGCAUAGAGAACAGGCAAAGACGGGCUCUUUGAAUCCUGGUUCCUGGAUAUAUCUCUCGCUUUCUGUGCGGUUCUCAGACUCUCAGUUUCCUCAUGUGUUAAAAGGAAGUAAGUGUAUCUCACUCUUGAGGCUGAGUUGAGCCAAAUGAGAUCCAGAAUAUCAAGCUCAGAGCUGUUUCUUCACUUCCAAUGACGUGGCCCAGCUCCAGAUCCCAACAGAUACACACAACAGAUGCCUCCUUAGGGCUUUCCAUACACUGCACACUACGUCUUUUACCACUACUGACACUUCCAGCACUGCUGGGUCUUCUGGUUCAUAUGGCCCAAGGGACAGAGCUGCUCCUGCUGCAGCCUGGACCUGUUUCAGAGCCCUUUCUUACGCCAGGUCCCGCUCAAGCUGGCACCUUCUCAUACCUAGAAUAUUGACUAACAUUAUUUCUAAGUGAGUGAUACAUGGUCUCCAGAACACAAAGGCCUACCAGGCAUUAUACUUUUUCCCCCUUUCUUUCCCCAGAAAGCCUAUGGUCCAGCACCACUGGCUCAUUUAAAUGGCAGUGACCACUGGGUGAGUCUGUGGACCUGGUAGAGGGCUUAUAAGCCAGACUUCAAUAGGUCUCCAUUUAUUGCCUGACACUUGGUAGGUCUGACUUUAAUAGGAGUCAACAAUGAAUUUGGGGGUCUCUGGGUCUCAAUAUCAACUCAAAUUCUGUGUUCAGUAGUCUUCAAAGUCUCUGGGUCCUCCUCUCUCCAACACACAGUAAAUGCAUGAGUAAACAGUUGUAGGUCUCAUCUGGGAAGUAGAUCAUUACACUGUAUUCUUACCACAGUGUUGCAGAGCCAUUCCUUUUGGGACGUGGCCACUUCUUCAGUCAAUGAAUCUUGGAUUUGAAAAUUCAUUUGAGUCUGGGAACUUAGCAAGGUUCUUCUCAUUGGCACACCUGAUCUCAGCCUCCUGCUCUGGUCUGCUGGUUUUUUCCUUUUGUUCUUAUUAAGCACCAUCCUCUUUGGCUGCCUAUUUUGCUUACAGGAGUGCUAUGGAAUAUUUGAAUAGAAUAUAGAAUACAUAGAAUGUUCUAUUAACCAUUUCCACAAUUUGGUGUGGGUCAAGACACUUGAUUGCCCCUCUGAUGUUGGUGGUUAUUAAAGUAAUGCAGCUUCCUGAUUUCUGGCAUUUAAAUGCUGUCUAUUGGCCUCUAUUGCUUUGGGGCCCAUCACCCUCACAUAUGCUAACAAUGCAGCUCUGUGACUACCUCUUCUACCAUCAGCCACUACUGGGCUUCUUAGCCAUGUCAGAGCCCCUCUUACCAGUACAUUCCUUAUGGUGUGUACUCUGAGGCCUUGUCUGGGGAGUCUUUCAGACUCACCGUCUCGCCAUCUAGCAUGCCAUCUAUCUGAACAUUUUAAUUUUCUCUAUCAUUUUCCAGGAAAACUUAGGCAUUUCUAUUUCUAUCCACAUGGGCCAUUAUUUUCUCCAGGCUCUCAAGAGUCACUGGCUAUGUACCAUGUAAUAUUAUGUGGUCAUAAAAAGAAGGAAAUCUUGCCAUUUGCAAAAACAUGGAUGGACCUUGAAGGCAUUAUGUUAAGUGAAAUAAAUCAGACAGAGAAAGAAAAAUACUCAUGAUCUAAAAAAACUAUAUAUAUAUAUGGAAUCUAAAAAAAAAACCUGAACUCAUAACUGCAGAGACCAGAUUGGUGGCUGCCAGAGAUGGAGAUGGAGGAUGAGUGAAAUGGAUGAAGGCAGUAAAAAGAUACUUCUGAUUAUAUGAUAAAUAAGUUCUGGGUGUGUAAAGUACAGCCUGGUGACCACAGUUAACAAUACUCUAUUGUAAACUUGAAAGGUGCUAAGAUGAUAGAUCUUAACAGUUGUCAUUGCAAGAAAAAAAUUUGUGAUGUGACGUGCUAGAUGUUUUGCAACAUGCACUUAUGUCAUUUACAUUGUACACCUGAAACUAACACAAUGUCAAUUAAAAAAAUUUGAGCCAUCAGUGUUAGGUAAAAAAUGCACCCUCCCUCCUAAAUGUCUAUGUCCUAAUCCCUGAAACCUAAGAACAUGUUAUCUCACAUGGCGAAAGGAAUAUUGCAGACUGAUUGAAGUAGGGUCCUUAAUUUAAUUAUAAUUAAGGAUGGAAACCAAAAACAAAAUGAAGAGACACAGAAUGGGAGAAAAUAUUUGCAAAUGAAGCUACUUACAAGGGAUUAAUCUGCGAAAUUAUAAACACCUCCUGCAGAAACCAAACCACCCCAUCAAAAAUGGGCAGGAGAUCUAAACAGAAAAUUCUCAAAGAAGACAUACAGAUGUCCAAAAACCACAUGAAAAGAUGUUCAACAUCACUAGUUAUUAGAGAAAUGCAAAUCAAAACUACUAUGAAGUACCACCUUAUACCAGCCGGAAUGGCCAUCAUCAAAAAGUCUACAAACAAUAAAUACUAGAGAGGGUUUAGAGAAAAGGGAUCCCUCUUAAACUGUUGGUGGGAAUGUAAAUUGGUGUGACCACUAUGGAAAACAGUAUGGAGAUUUCUCAAAAAAACUAAAAAUAGAACUACCAUUUGAUCCAGCAAUCCCACUCCUGGACAGCUAUCCAGAGAAAACCAUGACUCAAAAAUAUACAUGUACUCCAAUAUUCAUUGCAGCACUCUAUGCAAUAGCCAAGACAUGGAAGCAACCUAAAUGUCCAUUGAUAGAGGCAUGGAUAAAGAAGAUGUGGUACAUAUACACAAUGGAAUAUUACUUACCCAUGAAAAGGAGCGAAAUAAUGGCAUCUGCAGCAACAUGGAUGGACCUAGAAAUUAUCAGGCUAAGUGAAGUUAGUCAUACAGGAGACACCAACAUCAUAUGCUAUCACUUAUAUGUGGAAUCUAAAAAAAAGGAUACAACGAACUUCUUUGCUGAACAGAUCCUUACUCACAGACUUUGAAAAAUUUAUGUUUCCAAAGGAGACAGGGUGGAGAGUUGGGAGGAUGGGCUGGGGAUUAGGGAUGGAAAUGCUAUAAUAUUGGGUUGUGAUGAUCAUUGUACAACUAUAAAUGUAAUAAAAUUUAUUGAGUUAAA
rnacentral:lncRNA from 1 species